rnacentral:rRNA from 1 species
GACGAACGCUGGCGGCGUGCUUAACACAUGCAAGUCGAACGAUAAUGCCCAGCUUGCUGGGUGGAUUAGUGGCGAACGGGUGAGUAACACGUGUGUAACCUGCCCCUGACUCUGGGAUAAGCGUUGGAAACGACGUCUAAUACUGGAUAUGACUGCCGGCCGCAUGGUCUGGUGGUGGAAAGAUUUUUUGGUUGGGGAUGGACUCGCGGCCUAUCAGCUUGUUGGUGAGGUAAUGGCUCACCAAGGCGGCGACGGGUAGCCGGCCUGAGAGGGUGACCGGCCACACUGGGACUGAGACACGGCCCAGACUCCAACGGGAGGCAGCAGUGGGGAAUAUUGCACAAUGGGCGAAAGCCUGAUGCAGCAACGCCGCGUGAGGGAUGACGGCCUUCGGGUUGUAAACCUCUUUUAGUAGGGAAGAAGCGAAAGUGACGGUACCUGCAGAAAAAGCACCGGCUAACUACGUGCCAGCCGCCGCGGUAACAC